GUGCUGCGUCGGCUGGGAGCUAGGUCCGCAGCCUCCGCCCGGAUCUUCCCGCUUUCCCGGAUUUUCAAAGGCCCAAAGUGGCCGCUGCCCUCUCAGUUUCCUGCUCUGGGGGUUCUUCUCCAAGAACUCGCCCACGCAAACUCUCAGCAGCCUCUGAAAAGGAGACUGAGGUGCAGUAAAAGGAAGUGGUUUUCAAAGGACACAUCGGUUAUGAGAGGAUCACCAACCUCCCAUGUCGUCUGCUCCUGACAUCCAAGCAUCACCAUCAUCAUGGCUCAGUGAUCCACCAUCACCUGAGACAGAAGAUCCUCCUUCUGACUGUCAUCGGAAGGCCUACAGUAACCUAACCCUACGUCACAAUGGCCACGUCACUCGCCUCACUUCAUCUCAUCUUGCAAGUAUUUUAUCAUCUCACGUCAUCACAAGAAGAAGGGACACAAUAUACAGGAUUAUCUCCCCACCUGAGAGAAGCUUCCAUGGAUUCCUGUAAGGCGGAGAGGUAGGGCCCACUUGGGACCAGGCACUUGCUUUGGGAGCGUGAGAAGAUUCUGUGUGGCUCAUGUAUGUAUAGUCUUGCUCCGUGAUCAUUGGAAAGUCACUUGACUUCUCUGAACCCCAAUUUCCUUAUCUCUAAAACCAGCAGCAGGAGAGGUGGAAUAAUGUCUACAGAGAAGCAAUACAGCUAGAGGUGAGAAGCUGGGCUGUGAGGCCUGACUGCCAGGGCCUGAAUCUCACUCUACUAGCUCUGAACCUGGGCUAACUUGCUUAACCUCGUUGCGCCUCAGUUUCCUUUAGUGUAAAAGCGGGAGAAAAAUGACACUACCUACCUCUCAGGGCCAUUGUAAGGAUUAAAUAAUAGGUGUAGGAUUCCCUUCAUGGCUCCGCAGAAACGAAUCUGAUUAGCACCCAUGAGGUUCAAUCCCUGGCCUCAGUGGGUUACGGAUCUGGUGUUAUCAUGAGCUGUGGUGUAGGUCACAGACACAGCUCAGAUCCCACGUUGCUGUGACUAUGGUGUAGGCUGGCAGCUACACCUCUGAUUCAACCCCUAUCCUGGGAACCUCCAUAUGCCUCGGGUGUGGCCCUAAAAAGACACACACACACACACACACAAAAAAAAAAGUAAAAUAACUAGCAUCUUACCAUGUUACAAAGCAUAAGACCUUUUCACCUUGGCCUCUCAUGGCCUCUGGGAGGUAGCGGUUGUCACCCUUCCUUCUGAUGGUUGAGAUGACUGAGAUGUAGAGAGGCCAAAUGACUUUCCCCAAGAGGGUACAGCCUGUGAAACACCACAGUGGGAUGUAGGCCAGGAUUUCUCCCUCCUGCAGAGGCGGCAGAGCACAGAAUGGUAGACCCAGACUUCUAUCCUGGUGAGUUGCUCUUUCUUCCCCCUUUCCUCUCUCUCUCUCCAUCUCCCCCUCUCUCUCCCCAGCCCUGAGAGUGUCCACUUAAUCUAAGGCUUUAUCCUUCGCCUAUGUAAUUGGGAUGCCUCAACCUCCACCCAGGAUUAUUUACUUUCCUUCUUCCCAUGCCAUCAAAUCCUAGGAAGAUGGGGUCUAAACCCUUUUUACGCAAAGUGUGGUCCACAGACCAGCUUUACUUGGAGUCUUUUGGAAGUGCAGAAUCUCAGACUUGUUGAAUCAGAACCUGCAUUUUAGCAAGAUCUUGGGUGAUCUGUGUGUGCCUUACAGUUUGAGAAACAUUGAGCUAAUGGAUGUGUUUGGUAAAAUGUAAGGUCAGGCGCAGUGUGUUAGCAGUGACUUGGUAGAGAUGAUGCAAGCACACACUCAGUAUUUCUGUUCACACAGUCAUUGCUGCUCACUUGCUCACGGGGAAGGACAGACAAGAAAGUGAUGGCAGAGAAACAUUUCUCUGUAAGUUGUUUCUUGAGGAAAUACUUACACAGGGCAGACUUGUACUAAAAGUUAUUUGUUGCUUACCCAAGAUUCCAUUUUUAACUGAGAGCCUGGUAUUUUAUCUGACACUUCUAUUCUUAAAUUGGACCUCGUCGUUAUUUAAGUGCUAAGUCCCUGAAGUUUGGGGUAUCAUUUAGCUAAUGGGGGACCAGUCGUUGGGUCCUCUCCAGGCCUAAAGUGUGGCCGGGAAGAACCAUAUUAACAUUUGUCCCACUUUAUUGAGCACCUUUGUUGAGCUCUUUCCCAGUUUCUUUACUGAGGCAGUGAUUAUCAGUCUGGAGCCUGGAACUCCAAGUGAGGUCACGGAGCAGCAGCCUCACGUGUUAAAAAUGCAUAUUCUCAGGCCCUCCCCUGGCCAGACAGUGUCACCUACAGAUGAUUCACAUGUACAUUUUUAAAGUUCAAGCACAACUGGAUUAGGCAACUUUGAAUAAAGAAUAAUCCGUCAAAAACGCUUUUAAAAAAAUGAAUAGACUUUAUCUUCUAGAGCAGUUUUAGGUUUACAGAAAAAACUAAGUUCCCAAAUACCUCUUCCCCCGCCUACAGAGUUUCCCCUAUUAUUAAUGUUCAGUUAAUUAGACAAAGAGGUCCUUAGAUGGAGGUGGUUCUAAGGCUGUGGCAGCCUACUUAAGCAAAGCCAAACCUAACCUAUAAAUGAAGGCUAAGAACUUGAAACCAGAAGACAACCAAUCACAACUGGCCAGCUGGGCUCCCCCAAAUAAGGCAAUCACUAAAGCCAUAGCGAGUCAAAUAAUUCCCUUGCUUUGCUUCUGUGCCUUCUCUGUGAAAGUCCUGCCUGCUUCCAUCCCCCAGCUCCUGUUGCUGGAGCCUUUCUGACCAUUUCCAAUUUGGCACCACACUGUUAGAAGAGGUGUUUCUCUCCAAUAAACUUAAGAUUUGUAACGUGAUGUAGUUUGUCUUUUAACAUUAACAUCUUGCAUUAAUAUGGUACUCUCGUUACAACUGAUGAACCAAUAUUACAUUAUUCCUUACUCAAGCCCAUAGUUUAUAUCAGGGUUCACUCAGGUUGCACAUACUAUGUCUUUUGACAAAUGCAUAAUAUCAUUGCAAUACCUUACAGAAGAGUUUCACUGCCCUAAAAAUCCCCUAUGCUCCACCCAUUCAUCUCUCUCUCCUUUCCUCUGGACCUGGGCAAACACUGAUCUUUUUAUCAUCAAAUAUCCUUUUGAUUUGCCAGAAAAUUAAUACAAAUUCUUCCAUCAAGACAAGAGUGUUUUUCAAUAAUGAAACUGAUACAGAGGUUAAAUGACUUGUUCCAGGUCACCGAACUAGUAAGGGCAGGAGCUGGGUUUUCAACCCAGGUCUAACUCCAAAUCUCUCUUCUCUUCACUAGGCCAAUAUGGCCAGGCCCUUUCUUAGAAGAGAAGACAUUUGAAUGUCUGUACUGUAGGAGAGAUCCAGAGGUUUGGGGAAUAGUGUUGCAUGUAGUGGGGUAGGAGGUGGGCAGGUGGGGAUAUAGGAACUAUCUGGCCUAAGGAGGUUCCCAAGAAUUCCUAGCAGGUACUGUAGUGUGAGCUGUGGCUGAAUUUGCAGACUGGAUCUCCCCAUACCAGGUGCUUCUGCAUCUCACUCAAGCCAAUUAUGAUUUACAAAUGGGAAUGUAGAAAUGCUAAUAACCCUAACUGGGCUCCCUAAUUACCGCUUAAUCAACUGCUAAUGGGUGUUAGCUGCCAGCCAGGGUAGCUGAUAGGGCUGAUAGGGCUCCAGCUGGCCAAGGUUAAAGGGAAGCUCUUGUUAGUGUCACUGGCCUUGAAAAUAGAAGGAAGCCAUGGGGUGGGUGGAAAAGUGUCUUCUUUUUCCUUUCUUCUGCAUUUUUGUCUGGAUAUUUUGUCUCAGUCAUGAGGCACUGGGCAGCAAAGGUCUUCAGAGGAGGUAAAGAACCAGAAAAGGCCAAGAGUGAGAAAUUAGCGAGCAGAGGAGGCUGGACAGUCGACAGGUGAUUAUUGAAUGCAGACAAGUGUGAGGUAUUGUGCUGAGUGCUGUCAUCUUAAUGUUGUGACAGUCAAGGGUUUUGAGGGAGCAAAAGGGGGCGAGGAAAAGUGAAUGUGUAGGGAAGUGACCCUGAGGAACACGAAUGGGAGAAGUCAUGAAUCAGAGGCAUCUGAGGUUUGGCAAGAAAAAAAGAGAAAGAACACUAACUUUUAUACAGCGUGUCUAAAAAUAUUUGUUAAAUGAAUGAUAUCAAAUUAAACAGUCUCUACAUAAGACAUUUUAACCUAUGACAUGCCCAACAUAUGGCAUCCCCCACAAUGACCAUCUUCAGUAGAGGUUUACCAUCCCUAUUUCACAGAUACAGAAGUUAGGAUUCACAGGGGUGAAGGGUCAUCCUCAUGGUCACGUUGAUAACACGUAGCUCUGCUCUUUUCCUGACUGCAAGGCUUAGCAUUUUUAAACAGCUUUAUUGAGAUAUUAUUGUCAUAUGGAGUGUAUAUAUUUAAGAUGUGCAACUUGAUAUUUUGAUAUAUUUAUAAUGUUGUGGGGUGAUCACCAUAAAACAGUUCAUUUUAUCAUUUCUACAUAGUUACCAUGUGUGUGUGUUAAAAGCAUUUAAGAUUUAUCCUCUGAGCAAAAUGUGAGUCUACUGUAGAGUACAACAGUGCUAUCAUUACCCCACGCACAUUAGAUCUCCAGAACUUACUCAUCUUAGAUAACUGAAACUCUGUGCCCUUUGACCAACAUCACCCUGUUUCCUCCUCCCCCCGCAACUCCUGGCAACCACUGUUCGAUCCCUGGCCUUGCUCAGUGGGUCAAGGAUCCAGCAUUGCCAUGAGCUGUGGUGUAGGCUGGUGGCUACGGCUCCGAUUCAACUUCUAGCCUGGGAAUUUCCAUAUGUUGUGGCUGCGGCCCUAAAAAGACC
rnacentral:lncRNA from 1 species